rnacentral:rRNA from 1 species
AUUGAACGCUGGCGGCAGGCCUAACACAUGCAAGUCGAGCGGAUGAAGGGAGCUUGCUCCUGGAUUCAGCGGCGGACGGGUGAGUAAUGCCUAGGAAUCUGCCUGGUAGUGGGGGAUAACGUCCGGAAACGGGCGCUAAUACCGCAUACGUCCUGAGGGAGAAAGUGGGGGAUCUUCGGACCUCACGCUAUCAGAUGAGCCUAGGUCGGAUUAGCUAGUUGGUGGGGUAAAGGCCUACCAAGGCGACGAUCCGUAGCUGGUCUGAGAGGAUGAUCAGUCACACUGGAACUGAGGCACGGUCCAGACUCCUACGGGAGGCAGCAGUGGGGAAUAUUGGACAAUGGGCGAAAGCCUGAUCCAGCCAUGCCGCGUGUGUGAAGAAGGUCUUCGGAUUGUAAAGCACUUUAAGUUGGGAGGAAGGGCAGUAAGUUAAUACCUUGCUGUUUUGACGUUACCAACAGAAUAAGCACCGGCUAACUUCGUG